rnacentral:rRNA from 1 species
AUUGAACGCUGGCGGCAGGCUUAACACAUGCAAGUCGAGCGGAGUGAUGGUGCUUGCACUAUCACUUAGCGGCGGACGGGUGAGUAAUGCUUAGGAAUCUGCCUAUUAGUGGGGGACAACAUCUCGAAAGGGAUGCUAAUACCGCAUACGUCCUACGGGAGAAAGCAGGGGAUCACUUGUGACCUUGCGCUAAUAGAUGAGCCUAAGUCGGAUUAGCUAGUUGGUGGGGGAAAGGCCUACCAAGUCGACGAUCUGUAGCGGGUCUGCGUGGAUGAUCCGCCGCACUCGGACUGAGACAACGCCCGGAAGCCUACGGGAGGCAGCAGUGGGGAAUAUUGGAAAAUGGGGGGAACCCUGAUCCAUCCAUGCAGCGUGUGUGAAGAAGGCGUUAUGGUUGUAAAGCACAUUAAGCGAGGAGGAGGCUUACCUAGUUAAUACCUGGGAUAAGUGGACGUUACUCGCAGAAUAAGCACCGGCUAACUCUGUGCCAGCCGCCGCAGUAACAC